GUUUAAAUUUAAUUGAUUUAUUAUAUUUUUAAAUGGAUGCGGUAACUCUGACUGUAAUAAUGUAGCAUAAUAAUUUGUCAUUUAAUUGGUGGAGGGGAUGAAUGGUUUUACGAAUAUUUCUCUGUCUUAAAUAAAAAAUUUUUUAAAUUAAAUUUAUAGUGAAGAUGCUAUAUAAAAUUGUAAGACGAAAAGACCCUAUAGAGCUUUACUAUAAAUAUUUGUUAUUUGAGUAUUUGGUAGUUUAAUUGGGGCGAUUGUUUUUUAAAAGUAACAAAAAUAGGUAAUGGGUAAUAAUGUUUUAUUUACUGUAUAAUAAAUUUAUUUAACAGUUAUUUUAGUAGGCUAUAAUGAUCCGUUUUAUUUUUUAAAAUCUUGAAACGAUAAAUAAAUAAAAGCUACCUUAGGGAAUAACAGGAUAAUUGUUAUUUUA
rnacentral:rRNA from 1 species